AAAUACGCAAGCCCAUUUGUCCCCAAACAGAGCAUCUCUCAUUGGGAAAUGCGUUUUACCAGUCCUGGGAGUAUGAUGUUUCUAUGCAAAAGGUGUGCGGCCAAUUCGACAACACCAAAGAACAAGCCCAGGCCAGCUGCCCUUGGAACGACGAUAGUGUGAUCUGCCUUGACAUUAAGCACGAUAACUGGGAGGCACUGAGCUGCGGCCGGGUGCCGUUCGACUCGGACAUGCAGUGCUGGACAUGUUGCGGCGGCGCGCUCAUCUGCCCG
rnacentral:lncRNA from 1 species